rnacentral:ncRNA from 1 species
AUAAUGAUACACUUGCACUGCAAUUGCGUGAGCUACCACGCGAGGGUGAAAUUCCCGUGA